rnacentral:pre_miRNA from 1 species
UGUGUGUGUGUGUGUAUGUGUGUGUGUAUGUAUGUAUAUACAUACACACACAUAUAUUUACACAUACACACA